rnacentral:rRNA from 1 species
AGGAAGGAGAAGUCGUAACAAGGUUUCCGUAGGUGAACCUGCGGAAGGAUCAUUGUCGAGACCGAAAAAUAAAUCGAGCGAUCGAACAACCCGUAAAAUGAACGAACGACCGUCCCUUCCGUCGCCCUGGACCCUCCUUCGGGGUGAAGGGGCACGACAGAGGAUGGAUGAACCACAAACCGGCGCAGCAUCGCGCCAAGGGAAGAUCGAAAUGCCCGAGCCCUGCGUCGGGCUCGGUGACGUGGAGUGCUGGUGCACGCCAUGUGGAUUGACACGACUCUCGGCAAUGGAUAUCUCGGCUCUUGCAUCGAUGAAGAGCGCAGCGAAAUGCGAUACGUGGUGCGAAUUGCAGAAUCCCGCGAACCAUCGAGUCUUUGAACGCAAGUUGCGCCCGAGGCCAGCUGGCCAAGGGCACGUCCGCCUGGGCGUCUAGCGUUGCGUCGCUCCGUGCCAGCUGUCUCGCCAGCGAGGCUCGGAUGUGUAGAGUGGCCCGUCGUGCCUGUUGGUGCGGCGAGCUGAAGAGCGGGUUUCGUCUCAAUGGCUGCGAACAACAAGGGGUGGGUGUAAGCUCUGAGCGCAGCCUGCGUUGUCUCGUGCCAGCCCGAGAGACGGUGUGUGCCUCUGAUGUGAUCCCCGACCAUGCGCCGCUCGGCAUGCGACGGCUUGGAAUGCGACCCCAGGAUGGGCGAGGCCCCCGCCGAGUUUAAGCAUAUCAAUA